rnacentral:rRNA from 1 species
AUUGAACGCUGGCGGCAGGCCUAACACAUGCAAGUCGAGCGGAUGAAGGGAGCUUGCUCCUGGAUUCAGCGGCGGACGGGUGAGUAAUGCCUAGGAAUCUGCCUGGUAGUGGGGGAUAACGUCCGGAAACGGGCGCUAAUACCGCAUACGUCCUGAGCGAGAAAGUGGGGGAUCUUCGGACCUCACGCUAUCAGAUGAGCCUAGGUCGGAUUAGCUAGUUGGUGGGGUAAAGGCCUACCAAGGCGACGAUCCGUAACUGGUCUGAGAGGAUGAUCAGUCACACUGGAACUGAGACACGGUCCAGACUCCUACGGGAGGCAGCAGUGGGGAAUAUUGGACAAUGGGCGAAAGCCUGAUCCCGCCAUGCCGCGUGUGUGAAGAAGGUCUUCGGAUUGUAAAGCACUUUAAGUUGGGAGGAAGGGCAGUAAGUUAAUACCUUGCUGUUUUGACGUUACCAACAGAAUAAGCACCGGCUAACUUCGUG